AUAUCUGUACAGUGGUCUAUAUC
rnacentral:siRNA from 1 species